AACGAACGCUGGCGGCAGGCUUAACACAUGCAAGUCGAACGCCCCGCAAGGGGAGUGGCAGACGGGUGAGUAACGCGUGGGAAUCUACCCAUCCCUACGGAAUAACGCAUGGAAACGUGUGCUAAUACCGUAUACGCCCUACGGGGGAAAGAUUUAUCGGGGAUGGAUGAGGCCGCGUGGGAUUAGCUGGUUGGUGGGGUAAAGGCCUACCAAGGCGACGAUCCAUAGCUGGUCUGAGAGGAUGAUCAGCCACAUUGGGGCUGAGACACGGCCCAAACUCCUACGGGAGGCAGCAGUGGGGAAUAUUGGACAAUGGGCGCAAGCCUGAUCCAGCCAUGCCGCGUGAGUGAUGAAGGCCUUAGGGUUGUAAAGCUCUUUCACCGGAGAAGAUAAUGACGGUAUCCGGAGAAGAAGCCCCGGCUAACUUCGUG
rnacentral:rRNA from 1 species